rnacentral:piRNA from 1 species
UGACUUCCAUGAGCGACGGUAACCGAC